UGCAAUGAUGAAAGUGCUUCUUAUAUUCCGACACCUUGUAUGAGAUGAAUCAGUAAAUUCAUUUUUGAGCACAUAAAGCAACUCUUUGACU